rnacentral:tRNA from 1 species
UAGAACAUAGCAUAAUCUAAAUGUAUUUCGCUUACACCGAAAGGAUACUUAAAAUUAAGUUGUUCUAA